UACAGAGGUCUCAAGCGUUGUUCGGAAUCAUUGGGCGUAAAGAGCGUGUAGGCGGCCCGAUAAGUCCGCUGUGAAAGUCCAGGGCUCAACCCUGGAAUGCCGGUGGAUACUGUCGGGCUCGAGUCCGGAAGAGGCGAGUGGAAUUCCUGGUGUAGCGGUGAAAUGCGCAGAUAUCGGGAGGAACACCGAUGGCGAAGGCAAUCCCCUGGGCCUGCACUGACGCUCAUGCACGAAAGCGUGGGGAGCAAACAGG
rnacentral:rRNA from 1 species